rnacentral:rRNA from 1 species
AUGCAGAGGGGCAGGUCGUGGUUCGGCUGCGUGCCCAUGAGCAAGGCGGCGCUGCCCGUGGAGAGGGAUUUUGAUCUUCCUGCGGUGAAGCCGUCGUGGCCGUCCUCCGUUUCAGACGGAGGAUUCGCAAAGGGCAGCAUCGACCUGGGAGGCAUCGAGGUGCGCCAAGUCACCACCUUCGCCAAGGUCUGGUCCACCACGCAGGGCGGCCAGGACGGCCUCGGCGCCACCUUCUUCAAGCCGGCGCCUGUCCCGACCGGAUUCCACGCGCUCGGCCACUACGCACAGCCCAACAACCGGCCGCUCUUCGGCCACGUCCUCGUCACCCGAGACGCUUCCGGCACCGGGGCGCUCCUUGCCCCGCCGCUUGACUACGCCCUUGUCUGGUCCAGCGGCCAGGACGAUGGUGCGGGCUUCUUCUGGCUCCCGACGCCGCCCGACGGCUACAAGGCCGUCGGCGUGGCGGUCACGGCCACCAAGGACAAGCCGCAGCCCGGCGAGGUCAUGUGCGUCCGCGCCGACUUCACCGACGCGUGCGAGGCCGAGGAGUCGGUGUGGAGCAACGACAAGGACGGCUUCAGCGCCACCGCCCUGAGGCCGGCGGUUCGCGGCAUCGACGCCCGGGGCGUGCACACCGGCACGUUCCUUGCACGGAGCGACGUCGCGCCGGCGAGCGUCUCAGCCUUGGCGUGUCUCAAGAACAACAGCGCGGCUUACACGUCAUGCAUGCCCGACCUGGCUCAGGUGAACGCCGUUCUCGCGGCCUACUCGCCGCAUGUGUACCUCCACCCCAACGACCCGUAUCUCCCUUCGUCAGUUACGUGGUUCUUCGAGAACGGCGCGCUGCUGUACCAGAAGGGCAACCCGACGCCGACGCCCGUGACCGCCGACGGCUCAAACCUCCCGCAGGGAGGCGGCAACGACGACGCCUACUGGCUGGACCUGCCGGCGGACAACGGCCAGAAGGAGCGGGUCAAGAAGGGCGACCUCGCGGGUGCCAAGGCGUACGUGCAGGCGAAGCCGAUGCUGGGAGGGACGGCGACGGACCUCGCCUUGUUCUUCUUCUACCCGUUCAACGGCCCGGCGCGGGCCAAGGUCGGCCCCCUCACCAUCCCUCUCGGCAUGAUCGGCGAGCACGUCGGCGACUGGGAGCACCUGACGCUGCGCGUGAGCAACUUCUCCGGCGAGCUGCUCCGGAUGUACUUCUCGCAGCACAGCACGGGCGCCUGGGCGGACGCGUCGCAGCUGGAGUACCUCGACGGCAGGCCGGUGGCGUACGCGUCGCGGCACGGGCACGCGUUCUACCCCAGGGAGGGGCUGGUGCUGCAGGGCGACUCGAAGCUGGGGGUCGGGAUACGGAACGACUGCGCCAAGGGGAGCAGGAUGGACACCGGCGGCGGGCGGUGCGAGCUGGUGUCGGCGGAGUACCUGGGUGCUGCCGGGAAGGUGGCCGAGCCGGCGUGGCUCGGGUUCGAGAGGGGGUGGGGGCCGAGGGAGGAGUACGACAUCGGCCGCGAGAUCAACCGUGCGGCGAGGAUCCUGCCGCGCGCCAUCAAGGAGCGGCUGGCUCAGCUGGUGAACAAGCUGCUGGUCGGGGAAGGCCCCACGGGGCCCAAGAUGAAGGGCAGCUGGAGAAAUGACGAGAGGGAUCCCUGA